UACGUAGGGCGCAAGCGUUGUCCGGAAUUAUUGGGCGUAAAGAGCUCGUAGGCGGCUUGUCACGUCGGGUGUGAAAGCCCGGGGCUUAACCCCGGGUCUGCAUUCGAUACGGGCAGGCUAGAGUGUGGUAGGGGAGAUCGGAAUUCCUGGUGUAGCGGUGAAAUGCGCAGAUAUCAGGAGGAACACCGGUGGCGAAGGCGGCAUCCUGGACCGGUAUUGACGCUGAGGCGCGAAAGCUAGGGGAGCAAACGGG
rnacentral:rRNA from 1 species